rnacentral:tRNA from 1 species
AGGGUAAUAGUUAAUAAUAACAUUUAACUUGCAAUUAAAAAGUAUUGGUUUCAAUUUACCUUA